rnacentral:rRNA from 1 species
AACGAACGCUGGCGGCAUGCCUAACACAUGCAAGUCGAACGAGACCUUCGGGUCUAGUGGCGCACGGGUGCGUAACGCGUGGGAACCUGCCCUUAGGUUCGGAAUAACUCCCCGAAAGGGGUGCUAAUACCGGACAAUGUCUUCGGACCAAAGAUUUAUCGCCUUUGGAUGGGCCCGCGUUGGAUUAGCUAGUUGGUAGGGUAAAAGCCUACCAAGGCGACGAUCCAUAGCUGGUCUGAGAGGAUGAUCAGCCACACUGGGACUGAGACACGGCCCAGACUCCUACGGGAGGCAGCAGUGGGGAAUAUUGGACAAUGGGCGAAAGCCUGAUCCAGCAAUGCCGCGUGAGUGAUGAAGGCCUUAGGGUUGUAAAGCUCUUUUACCCGGGAUGAUAAUGACAGUACCGGGAGAAUAAGCUCCGGCUAACUCCGU